rnacentral:miRNA from 1 species
CCGUCAAAGUGGCUCGUGUUAUGU